rnacentral:misc_RNA from 1 species
GAAAUGCGAUAAGUAAUGUGAAUUGCAGAAUUCCGUGAAUCAUCGAAUCUUUGAACGCACAUUGCGCCCUCUGGCAUUCCGGGGGGGCAUGCCUGUCCGAGCGUCAUUACGCACCCUCAAGCCCGGCUUGUGUGAUGGGCCCUGGCGUCUCGUUCGCGAGACGGGCCCGAAAGGCAGCGGCGGCGUCGACCCGAUGAGCCCGAGCGUAUGGGGACUUUUGUCACACGUUUGCGGUGCGGACCGGCGCCUGCUUGACUUUUCUGAUUAUCCAGGUUGACCUCGGAUCAGGUAGGGAUGCCCGCUGAACUUAAGC